CACAUAUGAUGAGUACUGAUG
rnacentral:miRNA from 1 species